rnacentral:rRNA from 1 species
GACGAACCGUGCGAACGUUAUUCGGAAUCACUGGGCGUAAAGGGCGCGUAGGCGGUUUGCUAAGUUGGAUGUGAAAACUCUGGGCUUAACCCAGAGCCUGCAUCCAAAACUGGCUAACUUGAGUACUGGAGGGGAAAGCGGAAUUCCUGGUGUAGCGGUGAAAUGCGUAGAUAUCAGGAGGAACACCGGUGGCGAAGGCGGCUUUCUGGACAGUAACUGACGCUGAGGCGCGAAAGCUAGGGGAGCAAACAGG